GGCGGCUUUACCCGCUACCACGGCGCCAGCCCCGAAGUGAGCUUUUAGGAGUAUUAGUUUCCUAAGUUUUGUUUUUAUUUUUUGGAUUAUUUUUAGUUUCCUAAGCUCUUUAAAGUAAUUUAAAGUAAAUGCGUGCUUUCCCCACGCAUUAGGCAGCACCUGUAGGAAGCAGACGUGGGUUCUAUGAACGCAAUACAAUCACCAGAAGUAAAAAUCAAAUCUCAAAUCUUGCUUCGGUUAUCACGUGCUCCGCGCACAGUCGAAAACCACGUUUCAUCCCAACACGAAUGCGUCAAUUUAGGGUAGAUUCAGCGGCCACACGGACGUCACGUGGUACAGACCGGGGCGGCGCCUUUGGCGGGUAGGCGGGACGCAGGGGCUUGUGGGAAAUGUAGUCAUGGUUUCCGUGACGUCAUCAUCACGCGACGACAGGAAGGCGCCUCGGUCCCUUCUGCGCAUGUGUCCAAGAGUUCCGUGUGUCGCCGCUGUCUACCCGCGCCAUUGGAGUCAGGUUGUGUGUCGCCGCAGUCUACCCGCGCCAUUGGACUCGGGCUGAAGUGCAUCGCUGCAGGGGCAAUGCGCUCCACCGGGGAGACUUGGGGCGUGGAUGGCGGCCCCGUCUCCUUCCCACGCUUUUGCCGUACUGCAGAGCAGCGCUGAGAAGUCCCACAGAGGUGACAGAGGAUUCCCAUCUGCUGAUUGAUCCCACAAAUGGCUGCAGCAGCCAGGAUGGGUCAGUACCAGAUCCAUGUCUUGGGACCUCAAUCCAGGUCUCCGAUAUGGGUGGCAGGAACCAUUACUGGCCCCACCAGGGCCUGUUAGCAGGAAGCCGGAGUCAGGAGCCUGAGGUUGGAAUCAAGCCCAAGCACUUCAGUGUCUUAACUUCUAGUUGAUUUCUCAACAGUGUUGCAGUGGAUUCGUUUCUGAGAUGAGGAGCAGUGGUGGGGGCAAGAGGCGCAGAGUCACCACACAGACCCCGGAAGUCGGUGAAAGCAGGCCAGAGGGCGUUGGAAUGUUGGUUGUUUGCCAAGUUCUGUCACUGAAGAAUGCGUGACAGCACUGAUCGCUCGGCUGUCUGCCUGUGACGGGGGAGCCCUCACAACACUUCAGCAACAGCGCAGCCUCGGUGUGGCCACAGCCCCUGCCCUGCAGUCUCCAGCUGCCCUCGUCUGCCUGUGACGGGGGAGCCUCUCACAGCACUUCUGCAACAGUGCAGCCUCGGUGUGGCCACAGGCCCUGCCUGCAGUCUCCAGCUGCCCUUGUCCCAUGCUGUGCAAUGGAUUUCUAAUUUGUGCAACAACCGGCGGUUACUGGAGAAGAGUAGGUAAGCUGUUGCUUUCUGUAAUCUUCAUAGGAGCUUUAGAAUCAAUUUUAAAUUCAUUUUAUCUUAUUUUAAAUUGACAGAUAGCUGUAUAUAUGUGGCAUACAGUAUAGUGGUACACGGCCUAUAAACCUUGUCAGAUGAUUAAGUGAGGAUAAUUUUUUAAAGUAUUCAUUUAUUUAUUUGAAAGGCAGAGAUACAGAGGGGCUGAGAUGGGGGGAGAGAGAGAGAGAGGUCUUGCAUCUGUUGGUUCACUCCCCAGAUGGCUGCAUCGGACAGAGCUGUGCUGAUCUGGAGCCAGGAGCUUCCUCCAGGUCUCCUACAUGGGGCCAGGGGCCCAAGGACUUGGGCCAUCUUCUACUGCUUUCCCAGGCCACAGCAGGGAGCUGGAUCAGAAUGUAGCUUCCAGGACUCGAACCGGCACUCAUAUUGGAUGCCGGCACUGCAGGUGGCAGCUGUAACUGCUAAGCCACAGUGCUGGCCACAAGUGGGCAUAAUUAACAUAUCCAUCAUCUUAUCAUUUCUUUGGAAUGACAACACUGGCAGAAAACCCAGAGGUUCUUGUCCUAUGCCUUUGCCAGCAGAAGCACACUCACCACAGUGUGAGCUGAGAGCAGCAAUUUAAAUUUAAAUUGCACAAUUCAGGAACAAGGUGGCUUUAAUCAGAAAUCGGGUUUCUGCAAGAGCCAGGAGUUAAAGGUUUUAACUUCCAGGGAAGUUUUAUAUGCUCCCUGAGUUUAUGGGACGUCCCCAGGAGGGUUGCUCAGGUUCAGGGAGGAGCAGGUUUCUUUGCCAUCUGUGUCGUCGUGUGUGCUGCAUGUGUUUCAGGUUGGCUGCUGUUGGACGUUUAUCAUUAUAAUGGAGUUGGAUUUCUGUGCCAGGAAGGAGAUGGUGAGGGUCCUGGCCCUGCUUUUACAAGGGUGCAGCAAAGGCCAGCGCUGCGGCUCACUAGGCUAAUCCUCGGCCUUGCGGCGCCGGCACACUGGGUUCUAGUCCUGGUCGGGGUGCCGGAUUCUGUCCCGGUUGCCCCUCUUCCAGGCCAGCUCUCUGCUGUGGCCAGGGAGUGCAGUGGAGGAUGGCCCAAGUGCUUGGGCCCUGCACCCUCAUGGGAGACCAGGAGAAGCACCUGGCUCCUGCCUUCGGAUCAGCGCGGUGUGUUGGCCGCAGCGCGCUGGUUGCGGUGGCCAUUGGAGGGUGAACCAACGGCAAAGGAAGACCUUUCUCUCUGUCUCUCUCUCACUGCCACUCUGCCUGACCAAAAAAAAAAAAAAAAAAAAAAAAACCAAGGGCGCAGCAAACCUGAUGCAGCUGAGUCAGAAUUGCAGGCAGCUCCUUAAUGAGAAGUGUUAGAAGUGUUAGCUGCUGAGCUUGGCUGCAUCCAAUCAGCUUCCCCCGCCCCUUUAUUUGCAAGAACACCUGGGGAUGGGUAGUGUCAGCAAGCUUUUUCGCCAAACUUACACUGUUUUCUUGAGCGGGAGGAAUGGUUUCUGUGUUGGCUCUCGUUGCUUAGAACUUAAAGAUUCAAAGGUGUACACGGCGUCACUGUCUGGCUGCUUCCUGCUGUCAUCUGGGACAUGAGGCCAGAUUGGUUUUAACCAGGAAGUGAACGAAUUUCCAGGGUUGGUGAGCCCGUUUCUGUGGAGGUGGAAGUUCUGGGAACAGGAAGGCCUGGCCUUCCUUGGCUACGAAUGAAAGUGGCUGGAGAAUGACGAAGGCAGGGACUGCCACGCAGCUGAGAACAAGCCACAGAGGGAUAUCUCCCUGGGUGUGGAGAGCCAAACACACACACGUGUGGAAUCGGGACAAAUGUGUGUUUUGAAAGCAAAGCAAAGGGCAAAAUGUCUGCUCCUGUUCAACGCCCAGCUCUGAACUGCAUUGCUUGCAUUCUUGUUAAGUUUUCCAGGUUCUUUACAUGUAAGGGAUAGUAGUCCUUUGUCAGAUGAACAGAUUAUCAGUAUGUCUCUCAUUCUGUGGAUUGUUUUUCCUGCUGUGCAGAAGCCUCUGAGUCUGAUAAAAUCACAUUUGUCUGGUUUUCUUCCUUUUCUCUUGAUCUUUUUAAAACCAUUGCCUAUGGAGAUGUCUUGGUGUUUCCCCUGUGAUCUCAUCUGAGCGCUUAUUUUUCAACCUUACGUUGAGAUCUUUGAUCUGUUUUGAGUAAAUGAUUGCAUAGGGUGGGGAAUUGGCCCAGUUCAGUUAUCUGCGUGUGGACAUGCAGUCUUCCAGGCACCAUUUAGUAGAGACACUGUCCUUUCUCUGUGUGUUUUGGGCACCUUUGUCCACGGCAAGAUGGCUGUGGAUGCUGGGUUCAUUUCUUCGAUCUUUACUCAGUUAAUUAAUCUUUGUGACUGUCUUCAUGCCAGGAUCAUGUCGGUGUUGUUGGAAUAGUAGAAGGGCUUGAAGUCUGGUGUUCUUGUGCUUCCAGCUGUAUUAUUUUUGUUCAAGUCUGAUUUGUCCAUUUGAGGACUUUGGUGCUGCUAUGUGAAUUUCAAAGUUGUUUCUUAUUGUUCUUUGGAGAAUGUAAUUGGUAGUUUUGUGACGACUACAUUGAAUCUUUCAAUCUCUUUGUGUAGUAUGGACAAUUUAUUGUUUUCCAGACGAGGACAGGCAUUGUGGCAUAGCAGUGGCGCCACCACCUGUGACACCUGCAUCCCCAUGCAGCAGUUCCUGUCCUGGCUGUUCCACUUGCAAUCCAGCCACAUGCUAAUGGCCUGGGAAAAGUAAUGGAAGAUGGCUCAAGUCCUUUGGCCUCUGCCAUUCCUGUGGAGACCUGGAUGAAGCUCCUGGCUCCUGGCUUGAGCCUUUCCUAGUGCUGGCCAUUGAGGCCACUAGGGGAGUGAACCAGCAGAUACAGGACCUACCUUCCCCCCAUCCCACUCUAACUUUCAAAUAAAUCAUUUUUAAAAGGUAAAUAAAUACGUUUUCCAACCAUGAAUAUGGGGGGCCGUUCUUCUGUUUUAGCUCCUUCAUUUCUUUCAUUACUGCUGUGUCAUUAUCAUUGGAGGAGUCUUUACUAUUUAUGGUUUAAUUUAUUCCAUUUAAAUUUUUUUUGUAAUUAUUAAUGGAAUUGGUCUUGUAACUUCUUUCUCACAGUUCAUUGUUUGUUUAUACAAAUGCUAAUUAGCUUUGCACAUUGAAUUUGUACCCUGCAGCUACUGGAUUUGUUUUCCAGUUCUAAUAUUCUCUUGCAGGAGUCUGCAGGUUUCUCCCAAGUAGAAUCCUGUCAUCUGCAAACAGGGACAGUUGGACUUCCUCCUUUCCUAUUUGUAUGCAUUUUACUUGUUUCUCUUGCCUAAUUGCUUUCGUGAUAACUUGCUGUGCUGUAUUGAAUAAGAGUGGUGGUUGUAGACAUUCUUUUCAGAUUCCAGAUCUUUGAGGAAAUCCUCUUAGCUGUGAGUUUGUCCAACAUAGCCUGUACCGUUGGGACAUACCCCUUCUAUGCUGAGUUUGUUCAAGGUUUCUUUUUUUUUUUUUAAGAUCUAUUUAUUUAUCUGAAAGUGGAGUUAGAGAGAGGAGAAGCAGAAAGAGUGAGAGAGAGGGAGAGGGAGAGAGAGAGGUUGGUCUUCCAUCCGAUGGUUCACUCCCCAAUUGGCCACAACGGCCGGAGCUGUGCCAGUCCGAAGCCAGGAGCUUCUUCCAGGUCUCCCACGCGGGUGCAGGAGUGCAAGGACUUGGGCCAUCUUCUACUACUUUUUUUUUUAUUUAAUGAGCAUAAAUUUCCAAAGUACAGCUUAUGGAUUACAAUAGCUUCCUCCCCCAUAACUUCCCUCCCACCCACAACGCUCUCCUCUCCCACUCCCUCUCCCCUUCCCCUUCACAUCACGAUUAAUUUUCAAUUAUCUUUAUAUACAGAAGAUCAAUUUAGCAUAUGUUAAGUAAAGAUUUCCACAUUUUGCUCCCACAUAGAAACACAAAGUGUAAAAUACUAUUUGAGUACUAGUUAUAGCAUUAAUUAAACACCUAAGAGUAAUUGUGUAUUAAUUACAGAGUUCAACCAAUAGUUUUAAGUAGACUAUAAAAUGCAUCUUUUGUAUUGUUGUGGCUCCCCCCCCCCCCGACCUCCCUCCCUCCCUCCCGUGGCCCUCCCCUUACCCACUCCCUCUCCCAUCCCGCCCUGCAUCGAGUUUCAUUUUCAAUUACCUUGAUAUACUGAAGAUCAAGUUAGUAUAUACUAAGCAGGGAUUUCAACAGGUUGCACUCACACAACCGAACCAGCUAUAGGGUAUUGUUCGACUAGUAGUGUUGUUUUUGAGUUUCAUAGUUAAACAUAUUAAGGACAGAGAUCCUGCGUGGGGAGCAUGAACCCAGUGACUCCCGUUGUUGAUUUAACAAUUGGCACUCUUAUUUAUGAUGUCAGUAAUCACCCGAGACUCUUGCUAUGAGCUGUCUAGGCUAUGGAAGCCCCUUGAGUUCAGCAACUCUGAAUUUGUUUAGUCAAGGCCAUACACAGUGGAGGUUCCUUCCUCCCUUCAGAGAAAGGUGCCUCUCUCCUUGGCCAUCUUCUACUACUUUCUCAGGCCAUAGAAGAGAGCUGGAUUGAAAGAGGAGCAGCCGGGUCUCGAACCAGUGCCCAUAUGGGAUGCUGGCGCUUCAGGCCAGGGUGUUAACCAGCUGCACCACAGCGCCGGCCCCAUGUGCAAAGUUUCUAAAUGAGGAGAGAUUGUUUAAUUGUAUCUAGUGAUUUCUCUGUCGAGGUGAUCGUAUGAGCUUUCUCCUUCCUUCUAUUGAAGUGGUUAGUGAUAGGUUUCUUGGUGUGCACAGGUUGAAUGUACCUGAAUCCCUGUGAUAAACCCCAGUUGAUCAGUAUGAAUGAUUUUUUGUUAAGUUCAUUUUGCUAGAGUUGGUUGAGGAUUUUGCAGCUGUGUCUACUGGGGACACUGACUUGUAAUUUUAUUUUUUGGUUGUGUCCUUGCCUGGUUUUGAAGUAGAGGUAAUGCUGUCCUCCUAGAAUGAAUUUGGAAGGUUUCCCUCCCUUUGAAUUUUUAGGGGCUACUUUGAGAUUAAUCAGUUUGGUUCUUACUGAGAGUUUGCUAAAAUGAAGCCAUGAAGCCAUCUGGUCCUGGGCUUUUCCUUGCUGGGAGCUUUUUUCUUACUGCUUCCAACUCUCAGCUUAUUGUUGGUCUCUCUUCAUGCUGCAGGUGUGGUAAGUCACACCUACAGAGUUUUAUCUCUUUUUUUUUGACGGGCAAAGUUAGACAGUGAGAGAGAGACAGAGAGAAAGGUCUUCCUUUUCCCAUUGUUUCACCCCCCCAAGUGGCUGCUACGGCCAGCUCGUUGUGGCCAGCAUGCUGCACCGAUCUGAAGCCAGGAGCCAGCUGCUUCCUCCUGGUCUCCCAUACAGGUGCAGGGCCCAAGCACUUGGGCCAUCCUCCACUGCCUUCCCAGGCCACAGCAGAGAGCUAGACUGGAAGAGGAGCAACGGGACAGAAUCUGGUACCCCGACUGGGACUAGAACCUGGUGUGCCGGCACUGCAGGCGGAGGAUUAGCCUAGUGAGCCACGACGCCAGCCCUUAUCUUUCUCUUAAUGGUUCUCAAAUUUGUUGGCAUGUGGUUUUCACAAUCUAUAAUGGGCAGUGAUGUUUCUGUGUUAUCAUAUGCGUUGUCACAUUUUCAUGUCUGCUAUUGACUUGAGUCUUCUGUUUUUAUUGUCUACCUAAAAAUUUGUUCACAAGUGUAUUUUUUUAAAGAUUUAUUUUAUUUAUUUGAAAGAGUUACAGAGAGACAGAGGCAGAGAGAGGUCUUCUAUCUGCUGGUUCACUCCCCAGUUGGCCAUAAUGGCUGAAGCAGUGCUGAUCCAAAGAAGGAGCCUCUUCCAGGUCUCCCACGUGGGUAAAGGGGCCCAAGGAUUUGGGCCAUCUUCCACUGCCUUCCUAAGCCAUAGCAGAGAGCCGGGUCAGAAGUGGAGCGGCUAGGACUUGAACCUGCACCCUUAUGGGAUGCCCAUGAUGCAGACUGGCGCUUUAACCUGCUGUGCCACAGCACCAGCCCCCACAACAGUAUUUUUUCCUUCAUACUACCUGAACUCUUAGUGUAGAGUUACCCUUAGGAGUAUAAAGUAAACUAAAAAUAGAUUUUUGUAAAAAUUAAUGGAAAUAGGAGAGGGAGGAGGAAGAAGGG